AACGAACGCUGGCGGCAGGCUUAACACAUGCAAGUCGAACGCAUCCUUCGGGGUGAGUGGCAGACGGGUGAGUAACGCGUGGGAACGUUCCCUUCAGUUCGGGAUAACCCAGGGACACUUGGGCUAAUACCGGAUACGUGCGAGAGCAGAAAGAUUUAUCGCUGAAGGAUCGGCCCGCGUCUGAUUAGCUAGUUGGUGGGGUAAUGGCCCACCAAGGCGACGAUCAGUAGCUGGUCUGAGAGGAUGAUCAGCCACAUUGGGACUGAGACACGGCCCAAACUCCUACGGGAGGCAGCAGUGGGGGAUAUUGGACAAUGGGCGCAAGCCUGAUCCAGCCAUGCCGCGUGAGUGAUGAAGGCCUUAGGGUUGUAAAGCUCUUUCGUCCGGGACGAUAAUGACGGUACCGGAAGAAGAAGCCCCGGCUAACUUCGUGCCAGCCGCCGCCGUAA
rnacentral:rRNA from 1 species